rnacentral:rRNA from 1 species
UAAGGAAUAUUGGUCAAUGGACGCAAGUCUGAACCAGCCAUGCCGCGUGAAGGAUGAAGGUCCUCUGGAUUGUAAACUUCUUUUAUCUGGGACGAAAACGGGAUUUUUAUCUCAAUUGACGGUACCAGAGGAAUAAGCACCGGCUAACUCCGUGCCAGCAGCCGCGGUAAUACGGCGGGGGCGAGCGUUAUCCGGAUUUACUGGGUUUAAAGGGUGCGUAGGUGGGCUUAUAAGUCAGUGGUGAAAUCUCCGAGCUUAACUUGGAAACUGCCGUUGAUACUAUAGGUCUUGAAUUAUCUGGAGGUAAGCGGAAUAUGUCAUGUAGCGGUGAAAUGCUUAGAUAUGACAUAGAACACCAAUUGCGAAGGCAGCUUACUACAUAUAAAUUGACGCUGAGGCACGAAAGCGUGGGGAUCAAACA